rnacentral:rRNA from 1 species
CCUACGGGUGGCAGCAGUCGAGAAUCAUUCACAAUGGGGGAAACCCUGAUGGUGCGACGCCGCGUGGGGGAAUGAAGGUCUUCGGAUUGUAAACCCCUGUCAUGUGGGAGCAAAUUAAAAAGAUAGUACCACAAGAGGAAGAGCCGGCUAACUCUGUGCCAGCAGCCGCGGUAAUACAGAGGUCUCAAGCGUUGUUCGGAAUCACUGGGCGUAAAGCGUGCGUAGGCUGUUUCGUAAGUCGUGUGUGAAAGGCCCGGGCUCAACCCGCGGACGGCACAUGAUACUGCGAGACUAGAGUAAUGGAGGGGGAACCGGAAUUCUCGGUGUAGCAGUGAAAUGCGUAGAUAUCGAGAGGAACACUCGUGGCGAAGGCGGGUUCCUGGACAUUAACUGACGCUGAGGCACAAAGGCCAGGGGAGCGAAAGGGAUUAGAUACCCGAGUAGUC